rnacentral:rRNA from 1 species
AACGAACGCUGGCGGCAUGCCUAACACAUGCAAGUCGAACGAACCCUUCGGGGUUAGUGGCGCACGGGUGCGUAACGCGUGGGAAUCUGCCCUUUGCUUCGGAAUAACAGUUAGAAAUGACUGCUAAUACCGGAUGAUGUCUUCGGACCAAAGAUUUAUCGGCAAAGGAUGAGCCCGCGUAGGAUUAGGUAGUUGGUGGGGUAAAGGCCUACCAAGCCGACGAUCCUUAGCUGGUCUGAGAGGAUGAUCAGCCACACUGGGACUGAGACACGGCCCAGACUCCUACGGGAGGCAGCAGUGGGGAAUAUUGGACAAUGGACGCAAGUCUGAUCCAGCAAUGCCGCGUGAGUGAUGAAGGCCUUAGGGUUGUAAAGCUCUUUUACCAGGGAUGAUAAUGACGGUACCCGGAGAAGAAGCCCCGGCUAACUUCGUGCCAGCCGCCGCGGUAAAAC